rnacentral:rRNA from 1 species
UACAGAGGUGGCAAGCGUUGUUCGGAAUUACUGGGCGUAAAGGGCGCGUAGGUGGCCUUCUUAGUCAGACGUGAAAUCCCCAGGCUUAACCUGGGAACUGCGUCUGAUACUGGAAGGCUCGAGUUCGGGAGAGGAAUGUGGAAUUCCAGGUGUAGCGGUGAAAUGCAUAGAUAUCUGGAGGAACACCGGUGGCGAAGGCGGCAUUCUGGACCGAAACUGACGCUGAGGCGCGAAAGCCAGGGGAGCAAACGGG